GAUGAACGCUGGCGGCGUGCCUAAUACAUGCAAGUCGAGCGAACGGACGAGAAGCUUGCUUCUCUGAUGUUAGCGGCGGACGGGUGAGUAACACGUGGAUAACCUACCUAUAAGACUGGGAUAACUUCGGGAAACCGUAGCUAAUACCGGAUAAUAUUUUGAACCGCAUGGUUCAAAAUUGAAAGACGGUCUUGCUGUCACUUAUAGAUGGAUCCGCGCUGCAUUAGCUAGUUGGUAAGGUAACGGCUUACCAAGGCAACGAUGCAUAGCCGACCUGAGAGGGUGAUCGGCCACACUGGAACUGAGACACGGUCCAGACUCCUACGGGAGGCAGCAGUAGGGAAUCUUCCGCAAUGGGCGAACGCCUGACGGAGCAACGCCGCGUGAGUGAUGAAGGUCUUCGGAUCGUAAAACUCUGUUAUUAGGGAAGAACAUAUGUGUAAGUAACUGUGCACAUCUUGACGGUACCUAAUCAGAAAGCCACGGCUAACUACGUG
rnacentral:rRNA from 1 species